rnacentral:lncRNA from 1 species
GUUUGAGGUCAAGGGUAAAUUCUCCAAAUUUAAGUCCGAAAAACCAAUAAAAAUGAAGAAAAAGCAUGGACCUGUUUUUGAAAAAUUGAAAAGAAUAUGAACUUUUCUGUGAAAUUUCUACAACAAAAGAACUAGCAAAUACCAUAUUUAUUUAUUAAUACAUCGAAUGGAUCAUAUAUUUCUAGUAUGAAUGCAUUCAAUAAAAUCAGAAAAUAAAAUAUUACGGAGUGCAGUAGCUGAUAUUGUGGUCCACAAAAACUCUCCAAAAUACUCCGCUAUAUAAGAGGCGAUCCAGUUUACCGCCUCAUUCGCCUCUCGAUAGAUGUGUCUGGCUACGAAAGACACUCUCGAACUCUUCCGGAUAUCAUGCAGAAGGAGGUGAGGGAUCAUCGUCCCUGC